CCUACGGGUGGCAGCAGUGGGGAAUAUUGCACAAUGGGGGAAACACUGAUGCAGCGACGCCGCGUGAGUGAAGAAGUAAUUCGUUAUGUAAAGCUCUAUCAGCCGGGAAGAAAAUGACGGUACCUGAGUACGAAGCCCCGGCUAACUACGUGCCACCAGCCGUGGUAAUAUGUCGGGGGCAAGCGUUAUACGGAUUUACUGGGUGUAAAGGGAGCGUAGGCGGCAGUGCAAGGCUGGAGUGAAAGGCGGGGGCUCAACCCCCGGACUGCUCUGGAAACUGGACGGCUGGAGUGCAGGAGAGGUAAGUGGAAUUCCUGGUGUAGCGGUGAAAUGCGUAGAUAUGAGGAGGAACACCAGUGGCGAAGGCAGCAUACUGGACUGUAACUGACGUUGAGGCUCGAAAGCGUGGGGAGCGAACAGGAUUAGAUACCCUAGUAGUC
rnacentral:rRNA from 1 species